UCCAUCUUAAUAUAUUUUUUUAGGCAACUCAGGUUAUUAAAGGGUUAUGAGGCUGUUGUAUAGGACAUGUCUUUGCUUGUGUGUGUGUUGUUUACAAGUAAAUUUAAGUUGAAUAAUUUUUUGUUUUUUUUUACAGGCAUACGCUUGGGAGUCUGAGACUGGAUGAAGGGCAAACAUUUGACUGUGAGUCUGAGACUUGAUGAAGGAUCAUUAGACAGCUGAGUUCAAUCAGUGUCCGGGUCAUAGGGUGGAAGAUGUAGGAGCGAGGAAACAAUUUCGCUGCAAUUGGAGAUGCAGAUCCACCGGUCAGUGUGGUUUGGCCUAUUAAACGGAUAGUUCACCCAAAAAUGAAAAUUCGGUCAUUAAUUACUCACUUUCAUGUCGUUC